GCGCGCGGAGGAGGAGCGGUGCGCGCGGGCUGCGCAGGCUGCGCAGGCGGGAGCCGGGGACGCGCGGCGCCGCCUCCCAGCCGCCCUUACCCGGAUCGCUCCGCCACCCGGCCCGAGAGUCCACCCGGCCUUGGGACGGACCGCGGGGCCCGGUGACUCACCCUCCCGCUACACACAAAGCACAGCUGCCACCUCCCGGAGCCAGCGCCAUGCGGCCGCCCGGAUGCCCUCGCCCAGCCUGGCAUCCGCGGUGCAUGGCAGCCACACGCCUCGCCGGGAGCUGAGGCUGCAUUCCAGAAACCCAGGAACCGGGGCUUAUGGCUGUUCCCCAGCAGAGGACCCCGGCCUUCUCACGCGUGCACCCCUGAGAAACUUGUUAUUGACACAACUUACUCCACCAGGAAGGGUGGGGUGCGCCGCGCAGGGCCUGCCUUGGUGCUCUUUAAGUCGCGUGACUGGAAAGGUUGCAGGGCCCCUGGGAAGGAGGUUUACAGUAGUACCUAACGAAGCAGCUUCUGGGCCUCCAAUUCCAUCUUUUUCUUUCCAGUGUCUUUAUCUUCAGCUUGAGGUGACAAGAUAGAGGGUCUACACCUCCUGAUAGUAUUUCAUUGUGGAUGGCCACCUGCCCCCAUCCACUUUCUCCUCCUGUUAAUGGCCCUGUAUUUGAAGAGUAACAGUGUGCCUUGCAAGUUAAGCAAAUUUUUAAUCCAAGUCCAAGCCCUAGGUAACGAAACACUCCCAGAGGAAUAAAUGAAGACAGCAUUUGGAUCACCUGACCAGUUGGGCACCCAAUACCUCCACAUGCAACUGAGGUGUGUAGGACUGUGCUGUGUCCAGGAGAGACCAGUCAGAUCAGAACUCCAGCCCAAACCGCCCUGGAAGUCACUGCUGUGCCCUGUCCUUGUCCAAUCCAUUCUGAGUAGCAGUUGCAUUGAGUCUGAAGUAAACUUUGAAAACAAUAUGAGGACUGAAGGUUCCACCGUUAGGAGCACAGACUGUUCUUGCGGAGGACCAGAGUUCUUUACACGAAUGCUUGCAACUCCAGCUCCAAGUGUUCUGGCACCCUCUUCUGGCACCUACAUAUUUGUGCACCUACACACAUGUGCACCCACACAUGUGGUACACACACUGCACACAUACACACAUCUUUUUAAAACAUUCCUUCAUUUGAACACACAACAUAUUGUCAUUAAAUUGUGUGUAAGACCCCA